rnacentral:rRNA from 1 species
GACGAACGCUGGCGGCGUGCUUAAUACAUGCAAGUCGAACGGAAAGGCCCUGCUUUUGUGGGGUGCUCGAGUGGCGAACGGGUGAGUAACACGUGAGUAACCUGCCCUUGACUUUGGGAUAACUUCAGGAAACUGGGGCUAAUACCGGAUAGGAGCUCCUGCUGCAUGGUGGGGGUUGGAAAGUUUCGGCGGUUGGGGAUGGACUCGCGGCUUAUCAGCUUGUUGGUGGGGUAGUGGCUUACCAAGGCUUUGACGGGUAGCCGGCCUGAGAGGGUGACCGGCCACAUUGGGACUGAGAUACGGCCCAGACUCCUACGGGAGGCAGCAGUGGGGAAUAUUGCACGAUGGGCGGAAGCCUGAUGCAGCAACGCCGCGUGCGGGAUGACGGCCUUCGGGUUGUAAACCGCUUUCGCCUGUGACGAAGCGUGAGUGACGGUAAUGGGUAAAGAAGCACCGGCUAACUACGUG